AUGACCCCCAGCCUGGCCAUCGCCUUCCUCCUGCUGCUCCCAGCGGGUGUCUAUUCCCAGAUCAACCUGGUGGAGUCUGGUGGGGGACUGAAGAAACCCGGAGACACCCUCAGACUGACCUGCACCGUGUCCGGAUUCUCUCUCACUAGCUUCGAGGUACACUGGGUCCGCCAGCCAGUGGGGAAAGGGCUGGAUUGGAUGGGAGUUAUCUGGACUGGUGGAGGCACUGCUUAUAGCAAUGCUCUAAAAAAUCGGCUCACCAUCACCAAAGACAACUCCAAAAGCCAAGUGUUCCUGCAACUGACCGGCCUGCAACGUGGAGACACCUCCGUGUAUUACUGUGCCAGAGACACACACUGA